UCCUUGGUUUUCUGUCCCUCCACGAGGACUCAAGUUCUGUUUGAGUCACUUCUUUCAUUGAUUCCCUGACUCAUUCCUUCACCUGGUGUCAAGGAGAGCGAUAAUUAAUCUGUGAUCUGGGACAGAGGCUGGGCAGCCCUGCUGUGUAACUGCAGGUAUCUUAACCUCUCUGGUCUUAGGGAGACAUCAACAAAAUCAUUUCCUGGGAUUCUUUCAGCUUUAAAUUUCUAGAUUUAAGAAAUAAGAAAUGCAUUAUUAGGUUUCCUUUAAAUAUUCUGCCAGCUAAUUUCUCCAGUUCUUUUACUUUGAAUUCAUUUAUCAAACCUAGCUAGACAGAUAGAAAAAAAUAAAUUACACUUUGAAUUAGGCUCUUCUUUUUCAUUAGACCUCAAUAAUGAGGAGAAAAUUCAUCUCCACGUCUGUGGUAAAACUUCUUUGACCACGGGAAACCUUUCUUCAUGUUUUUUUUAAGAUAAAAAUGCCCAAAGCAUGAAACUGAUAUACUUUUAAGGUUUGAAAAGCAUCAAAAUUGAUUUUUCUCUUUAAUUUUAAUAUGUAACAGAAACAAGACCUGCCAUAACUUAAUAGCCCAUCAAAACACUAUCUCAAGGGUCAUUUUAGCAUUUCCAUGAUAAAUUGCUAUUUUAGAAGCUUAUGUAACCAAACAAAGAAUGUGUUCUUGGCUAUGGCCAUGAAGACAAGUUAUUAUUGUGGGAGGGACAAAGGAAUCUGAGAGGCUCAUGAGAGACGGAGCCAAUUGCAGAGAACAUUUUAUAGAGCGCCCUUUCUCUUGAGUCUCCAUUUUCUGCAAUCAGGAUAAUGCAGUGCCUUUCAGAGCCAUUUUCAUUUUUGAAGUGCUCUUUCAUCAUUAGCUAAUAAAUACUCAUCAAUGAAUUUUCCUCAGCGUCUUGGAAGUUGGAGGAAAAAGAAAAUCGCUUUCUAUUUCUAGAGAUGCUGGUUUUCCACAUCCUGUCGGACUCAUCUAUCCAGGACGGUAGCGCUCCAGGAAAAAUUCCCUACUGAAGGGGAACCGAGAGCCUGGAGGAUCUCUUAGAAAGAAACUGGUUCAUACCUUGCCAGCUGCAUCUCCCUUGCUUCUUCCAGGACAGAAUGGGUUGAAAGAACCAGCAGGAACUGACAAGCAUCAUCAACUAAGGUGGAAAAGUAACAAAGAGCUUGAAGACUUUCAUGGAUCCCAGGCCCUGGACGGAGGCAGACGGCUUCAGACAGCAUCAGACAGAGAACCAAGAAAGCCGAGGGGCAGCCGGAAGGUGCCUGUGGCCACUGAGCCCAGACUUGUCUUUGGGAAAGACUCAGAAGAGCCAGUAAACUUGGCUUCUUCAGUUCUGCUUCUCAUCGGCCCCAUCAGCAGAGAGAAAUAAUGACUCCCGAAUCAUUUCUGAAUCAAAAAGUUAAAACAGUGUCUCAGUGAUGCUACAUCAUGCCAGACGCAGGUCAAAUUGUUCGAAGAUGCUGGGCCCUAGCAAGAUGGCAACAGGUUAAAAAAAUAGGAUUCAUAAGAAGUUCCUUUUUCAGAGACCGUAAACUGGGCUGAAUACAAUAUCCUUGCAUAUUUCCCAUCACCCUCCCAACAUGCUUCACAUCUCCCAGACUCCUAGGGUUAAUCCCCAAGACAACCUUGCUUUGAAAGAAAAAAUGUGGUGAGCCUACUUGAAGAUUUGGAUCCCAGAGGCCUCUUGUCUGUCCUGCCUCAGCCAGACACCGGGCUCAAGGAGAUGGACGUUUACAGAGAAAGAAGCAAAAUUAAUAACGUCCUAUCCUGCAGAUGAUUCAUAAACGCGAUUGCAUUAGAAAGCGCUUCUUCGUUGCUGUUUGUAGCCCGGGUUAAAGAUACCUAAAGUUGAUCUGUGUGUGCCUGUUCUCAACACGCUAAUAUUUGGAACUAUAUCUGCAUUUGUGAAAAUAAUCUGUACUGCUGGUUCUUCUCCAGAAUAAAUGCUACAUAACUGGCUGAUUGAUUGUAAUUGUGAUGAAUUUGUCCCAGGACUGGCAUGGACGUCUUCUUUGGGGAUUUUUGUGC